AUGAGGUUCAGGAUCCGGAAGAAGCCUGCGUCCGCGCCGCCGGACGCUUCUUCCACGGCCGCCGUGCCGGCCACUGCGGGCGGCGGCGGCCGGGCGACGAUCGUCGCUAGCCCAGAUCGCUACGGCACAGAGAAUGGAGGAAGCAGAGAUGAGUCGUUCUUCGAGGCAAGGCCGUGGUUAGACUCGGACAGUGAAGAUGAUUUCCAAAGCGUGAGAGGAGACUUCACUCCUUCAAGAGGUAGCACACCAGAUCACCAGAUGCAAACAUCAUUCGCUGCGCGGAUAUCUGCAGACAUUCCUUCGCUGACAGAGAAGAAGCAGAGGCUCCUUGAGCUGCUUCAGGAAAAGCAGCAGUACGAUGACGAGCAUGAUGCCACUACCGAUGCCGGUAGCGAGACUGGGAACAGCAUUCAUGCUGAAGAACAUCUGAAUCCUUCUGGGAAAGUAGAGAAAGCAAAGAAGCCAGCCAAGCCAGGUUGCUUCGCUUGCUCUGCUUGGAAGCUUAGCUUCAAGUGCUGCCGGAAGAAGAAGAAAGAGCAGAAGGAUUUGUGA
rnacentral:rRNA from 1 species